AGGACUAACGCUGGCGGCGUGCCUAACACAUGCAAGUCGAACGAGAGUAGCAAUACUCUAGUGGCAGACGGGUGAGUAACACGUGGUCAACCUACCUCUUAGUGGGGGAUAACUAGCCGAAAGGUUAGCUAAUACCGCAUUCGAUCUUCGAUCGGCAUCGAUUGAAGAUGAAAGGCGCAAGUCGCUAAGAGACGGGACCGCGUCCCAUUAGCUAGUUGGCAGGGUAAUGGCCUACCAAGGCGACGAUGGGUAGCUGGCUUGAGAGAGCGACCAGCCACACUGGGACUGAGACACGGCCCAGACUCCUACGGGAGGCAGCAGUGAGGAAUUUUCCGCAAUGGGCGAAAGCCUGACGGAGCGACGCCGCGUGUGGGAAGAAGGCCUUCGGGUCGUAAACCACUGUCGAAGGGGAAGAUAAUUGACGGUACCCUUGGAGGAAGCCCGGCUAACUACGUGCCAGCAGCCGC
rnacentral:rRNA from 1 species